UAAGGUGACACUUUGAUCAUUUUGCGAUUUGAAAGUCACAGAUCACUUUCAUAUAUUCUGGGAAGUUCUCUAUAAAACCUAAGUAUCAUGUGAAACGUGGUUGUGACUUGUUUAUAGUAACAUAAUCCUAUUGAUGAUGACGUACCUUGGGUCUCUUUGGCAUCUUUAUUCUGACAAACUAACCAUUCUGUCACAUCAGUGGAAAAUCUCUGAAAGGCUGCUUGUAUGGAUGAAGGAGCCUAACACACUGGGGAAUGGGAUAAAACCACGAGCCUAAAGGAACCAUAACACCAUACAGAAAAGGUGGAAUAACAGAAAUUUACAAAAAUACUCAUUUACAAGUCCAAUUUAAAUUAUGCAUUUGUUCUUUUACAUUGCACAAAAUCUAUCACCAAAAGCAUGAAGAUUUUCCUCCAGCUACUAAUGGACGCAGUAAUUGUAACCAAGGCUGACACUUUCUCAAAGCUGAAAAAAAACUGAUAAUUCAAUUUGUUGUCCUUAAUGUGGCUGAAAAUCUUCAUGGCUUCACUAGGUCCUUUUGAAAUUUUUCAAAACCAUCUCUGGUGGUGAGAUUUGCCCCAUGUGUGAAGCAGGGAGAAGAUCUUGUUUCCAGUACAACAGCUUGAAUCCAUGGAACAAGCCAUUCUUAUUGGACACCAACGCCUAAGCACCAUCUGCCUAAGCCAAUACAUCGCUUUUGUGUUAUUGUUUAUCUUGAAAUUAUUGAUAAUGUUAAAAUCUCUUUUUCAGUUGUAAGAUUUAACAAAGGGUGGUCGAACAAUACGUCCUCCUGGGCUCCUUUAUUCAGCUCCUAUCUGACAAACACUGAAAGAUCAGCUGUAUCACUAAUGUCAGGGAAUUCGU